UACGAAGGGGGCUAGCGUUGCUCGGAAUCACUGGGCGUAAAGGGUGCGUAGGCGGGUCUUUAAGUCAGGGGUGAAAUCCUGGAGCUCAACUCCAGAACUGCCUUUGAUACUGAAGAUCUUGAGUUCGGGAGAGGUGAGUGGAACUGCGAGUGUAGAGGUGAAAUUCGUAGAUAUCUGGAGGAAUACCGGUGGCGAAGGCGGCAUCCUGGACCAUUUACUGACGCUGAGGCGCGAAAGCUAGGGGAGCAAACGGG
rnacentral:rRNA from 1 species